GUGCCAGCAGCCGCGGUAAU
rnacentral:ncRNA from 2 species